GACGAACGCUGGCGGCGUGCUUAACACAUGCAAGUCGAACGAAGUGGCGAACGGGUGAGUAACGCGUAAUCAACCUGCCCUUCAGAGGGGGACAACAGUUGGAAACGACUGCUAAUACCGCAUACUUACGGAGGGGAUUGCGUCUUAUUAGCUAGUUGGAUGUGUAACGGCCCACCAAGGCAGUGAUCAGUAGCCGGUCUUGGAGGAUGAACGGCACAAUUGGGACUGAGACACGGCCCAGACUCCUACGGGAGGCAGCAGUGGGGAAUCUUCCGAAAUGGACGAAAGUCUGACGGAGCAAAGCCGCGUGAGUGAUGACGGCCUUCGGGUUGUAAAGCUAUGUUAAUCGGGACGCGGUACCGGAAUAGAAAGCCACGGCUAACUACGUGCCAGCCGCCGCGGUAAUUC
rnacentral:rRNA from 1 species